GACGAAGGGGGCUAGCGUUGUUCGGAAUUACUGGGCGUAAAGCGAGUGUAGGUGGUUGUCAUAGUCAGGCGUGAAAGCCUUGAGCUCAACUCAAGAAAUGCGCUUGAUACUGGGCAGCUAGAGGACCGGAGAGGAUAGUGGAAUUCCAGGUGUAGCGGUGAAAUGCGUAGAUAUCUGGAGGAACACCGGUGGCGAAGGCGACGUCCUGGACCGGCAUUGACGCUGAGGCGCGAAAGCCAGGGGAGCAAACGGG
rnacentral:rRNA from 1 species